UACGGAGGGUGCGAGCGUUGUCCGGAAUUAUUGGGCGUAAAGAGCUCGUAGGCGGUUUGUCGCGUCUGCUGUGAAAACCCGAGGCUCAACCUCGGGCCUGCAGUGGGUACGGGCAGACUAGAGUGCGGUAGGGGAGAUUGGAAUUCCUGGUGUAGCGGUGGAAUGCGCAGAUAUCAGGAGGAACACCGAUGGCGAAGGCAGAUCUCUGGGCCGUAACUGACGCUGAGGAGCGAAAGCAUGGGGAGCGAACAGG
rnacentral:rRNA from 1 species